UGGCUUUAGCUUGCAGAAUAAAGAGAGGGCUUCUUGCUGUCCUGGCGCUCGCGUUUGUGAAAAAAUAUCUUUCAGUUUAUAGACUACCUUACCGCAGAAGACUUCAAAUUUUCUGUCAGAACCGUUGCUGAGAGGUAUUCAAGGCAGUAGCAGAAAAGGUCUUUCUGUGAAGAAUUGUCAGUCGCCACGAAAAGAGCUCGUGUUGAAAUUACCCUUUUGACUUUCUGACUUCCAGGCAAGGAAGGCCUCUAGCGGGCAGGCCAUUUCAACAGGCUCUGGCACUAGCUAGCAGACGUGGAAGUAGUUAUGCACCACGUCCUGGUGCCCUCAGUCGUUCCUGCCAAGCCGUUGUUCGCUAUGCUUCGCUACGCAUGGACACCCAAAACAGUGAUAUUAUCAAUUAGUGCUAUUGCAAGUCUCAAUAGCCGAGGUCAGCUGCAGGGUGGAGGAACCUGUCUGGAAUACGCUAGGAAUUGGAAGACCACUAUGUUUGAAUCUUCAAUGCCGGGAGUACAGCUAUCAUCAGUACUUUCAAGGUUGCAGACGCGCUGAAGGAAUGCGGAGGCAACGCACUCCUGCGCAGCCUCACUGAUAAAAGCAAGAUAUUGCCAGCAUCAAGACGUCUGAACAACUUCACUUUGGAGCAGCCAACAGACCUUGUCAAUACCAGCAAACCCGGACUGCAAAUAACACUGUGCAACCCAGUGCUCGGUUUUUCUUCAUUCGCCGCAUGUUUUCAAGCAAAAUGGAACUGAUUACUCUGAGCAGCAACGCAUAACUCAGUCAAUGGCACGUCCGCAGUGAAAGCAGUUGAUAGUUUCUAUACUCAGCCUCAUCAGGAGAUGUAUGUUGGGUUACCCUCCAAGUGACGUCCACAUGAGCACACCGAAAACACAGCAAGGAUCAACUUGUGCCUGGUGUUAUUCGGCAUGAGCAGCUAAGCGCUAGCGUUGAUAAUUCAUAGGAAUGGCUGAACAAGUACCACGAUUAUCCAUUCCUGGCUAUGGCCAGUAGUGAGGCGCCUUGAACAGAUGAAGUGUGUCAGUGCAGCUAUCGAUCGCCGCAAACUAUUGCUUACAAGCGUUCACAGAAGCAAUGGUGUAAUGGUUUCAAUCACCUUCAAUCUCUAUGCUGACAAAUUAUGUAUUAUAAUGUUCAGGAAAUGGUAGAUGGCAUAGGCAUCACUGCAUCUGGUAUUCUGGAACAAUGUAUUGCCCUGGUCCACUUCACUCUUCUUCUCCUUAGUUUAGUACUAUCCAUCUUGAAUUUUCCAAGGACCAUGUUGAAUAAGGUUGUCUGAUUUUAUGAUCCUGUUCAAUUCUACUCUAAGUGGUCUCGUUUCCGGUAUCUAUGGGUUUGCCUCACCUACCCAUCCACUUUGUUAACUUACUUCAAAUUACAUCUUUCCUGCAUGUGUUUCUUCUAUGAUUAAGUCGAUGAUCAUGUUGCUUCCUUUUCAACUAAUACUUAUAUCCUAUAUCCUAUUGCUGAAUUUUUUUUAAAGUUUCUCACUUCACUAAAUUCAAUAUUUCCUUUGCUCUGCGGCAGUUCACGAAAGCUUAAUAAAAUUUCCUUUUUUCUAAUGCUUAUCACAUAUAUUUCCUGUAUUCUACCCUGUCAAUUUUCUUCUUAACAGUCAUAACUUUAUCCUUUUUCAU